rnacentral:rRNA from 1 species
GACGAACGCUGGCGGCGUGCUUAACACAUGCAAGUCGAGCGGUAAGGCCCUUUCGGGGGUACACGAGCGGCGAACGGGUGAGUAACACGUGGGUGACCUGCCCUCAGCUCUGGGAUAAGCCUGGGAAACUGGGUCUAAGUACCGGAUAUGACUCCAUGACGCAUGUUGUGGGGUGGAAAGCCUUGUGCGGCUGAGGAUGGGCCCGCGGCCUAUCAGCUUGUUGGUGGGGUGANGGCCUACCAAGGCGACGACGGGUAGCCGGCCUGAGAGGGCGACCGGCCACACUGGGACUGAGACACGGCCCAGACUCCUACGGGAGGC